rnacentral:rRNA from 1 species
CUACGGGUGGCAGCAGUGAGGAAUAUUGCACAAUGGGGGGAACCCUGAUGCAGCAACGCCGCGUGGAGGAUGACGCAUUUCGGUGUGUAAACUCCUUUUAUAUGUCAAGAAAAUGACGGUAGCAUAUGAAUAAGCACCGGCUAACUCCGUGCCAGCAGCCGCGGUAAUACGGAGGGUGCAGGCGUUACUCGGAAUCACUGGGCGUAAAGGACGCGUAGGCGGGUUGGAAAGUCAGGUGUGAAAUCCUACAGCUUAACUGGAGAACUGCACUUGAAACUUCUAAUCUAGAGUAUGGGAGGGGGAGAUGGAAUUAGUGGUGUAGGGGUAAAAUCCGUAGAUAUCACUAGGAAUACCUAAAGCGAAGGCGAUCUCCUGGAACAUUACUGACGCUAAGGCGUGAAAGCGUGGGGAGCAAACAGGAUUAGAUACCCGAGUAGUC